rnacentral:lncRNA from 1 species
GCUGAGUCUGCUUAUGGCCAAACCGAAGCCAAACCACCGGCCAAAUGGCCGAAAAACCCAGCCAAAACCGAGCGGCGCUACCGCGCCCCUCCUUGGUUUUUGCCUCCGAUGGGGCCCUUCCCAGCCUCCGUUUAAUGCAAAUUUUAUACCACUGUGAUCACCGUUCUUCUCUCUACAGGUAAAUCGGAGCCAAACAUCAAAACGCGACUCACGUCGGAGGAAUCGCCGCACCCGAG